GUUUGUUUGUUGUUGUUUUUUUUUUUUUUUGUUGAGGGGGGGGGGGGGUAAUUAAUAGAUAGAAAUGAUAUUGCUGUAGUCACGGGUGAGGGGUGAAAGUCUGUAUGUGCGAAUGUAUAAUUCGAUUUUACUUUGUAUAGCAAUGUUUCUGAUACUGUGGGGCGGCCGCCCGAGUGGAACGCGAAGGUUUUGUUUGUUUUAAACCACAAAAAAAAAAAUGUUUUAUUUCCAUUGUAUUUCUAAAUCCAAAUAUGUGUGUCAAUCUCGUAAAAAAAAAACAACAACACAUUAUUCACAAUGUUACAAAAGUAUUGGCAGAGACGUGGUUUUAACUUUUAUACUAUUUUCGUGAAAGGCAUCUACAUUUACAUCAAGAUGAAUUCACCACUUUCUUUUGAAGAAUUCACUUUAAUGCAUUCACUCAGUUUUCUUUCUUCAAAAAAGUCAAAUAUCUCCCAACUGGUAUACCGUCGUUUUCUAGACUUCUUUUUCGGAUGAACCAAGCAGGCUCACUACAAGACGUCUCUCAGAAUACUGGGCUGACAUAAAGACCAUCAAGCCCAUUUCAAAUGUACAUGCUCUACUCCCUGGCCGGUCCCACCUGAUCUUAAGUUAACUUUUUAUUUGACCUGCGCUCUUCUUAUAAGAAAUAAUUGUGCGUCGUUCAUGAUAGGAUGAUGGUUUUAUGAAGUUUAUAUUGCAGGGAAACUUUUUAACCUAACUUUAACUCUGCUAGGGAAGCUUACAUCACUUCCCAGACACCAUAACCUCCUAAGCGGGAGAGGGGGGUAGUGUGAACGUAAUUUUGGAGGGGGGGGGGGGGGAGUCUAGAAAAGGGGCGAUAAUGGUAAAGGUUUGAGAAACACUGUGUAGGUUAGUCGGAAUGAAUGAGAGGAUGACGGGAAGUGUGACGGAUGUAACGUUGCGGUAGAUUAAAAUAAGUAGGACAAGGACGGUGUUCUUUUCGUUCUUAUCAACUGCAGUUCUAGUGGUCAGCCGCAACCCUCGUGGUCAGCCGCAACCCUAGUGGUCAGCCGCCACCCUAGUGGGCAGCCGCCACCCUUGUUGUUAGCCGCAACCCUCGUGGUCAGCCGCAACCCUCGUGGUCAGCCGCCACCCUAGUGGGCA